rnacentral:rRNA from 1 species
GACGAACCGUGCGAACGUUGUUCGGAAUCACUGGGCUUAAAGGGCGCGUAGGCGGGUGUGCAAGUCUGUGGUGAAAAGCCUCCAGCUUAACUGGAGAAGUGCCAUGGAUACUGCACAUCUUGAGGAGGGUAGGGGCAUCUGGAACGGUCGGUGGAGCGGUGAAAUGCGUUGAUAUCGACCGGAACUCCGGUGGCGAAGGCGAGGUGCUGGACCUUUCUGACGCUGAGGCGCGAAAGCCAGGGGAGCAAAGCGGG